AAAUUGAAGAGUUUGAUCAUGGCUCAGAUUGAACGCUGGCGGCAGGCCUAACACAUGCAAGUCGAGCGGUAGCACAGAGAGCUUGCUCUCGGGUGACGAGCGGCGGACGGGUGAGUAAUGUCUGGGAAACUGCCUGAUGGAGGGGGAUAACUACUGGAAACGGUAGCUAAUACCGCAUAACGUCGCAAGACCAAAGUGGGGGACCUUCGGGCCUCAUGCCAUCAGAUGUGCCCAGAUGGGAUUAGCUAGUAGGUGGGGUAACGGCUCACCUAGGCGACGAUCCCUAGCUGGUCUGAGAGGAUGACCAGCCACACUGGAACUGAGACACGGUCCAGACUCCUACGGGAGGCAGCAGUGGGGAAUAUUGCACAAUGGGCGCAAGCCUGAUGCAGCCAUGCCGCGUGUGUGAAGAAGGCCUUCGGGUUGUAAAGCACUUUCAGCGGGGAGGAAGGCGUUAAGGUUAAUAACCUUGGCGAUUGACGUUACCCGCAGAAGAAGCACCGGCUAACUCCGUGCCAGCAGCCGCGGUAAUACGGAGGGUGCAAGCGUUAAUCGGAAUUACUGGGCGUAAAGCGCACGCAGGCGGUCUGUCAAGUCGGAUGUGAAAUCCCCGGGCUUAACCUGGGAACUGCAUUCGAAACUGGCAGGCUAGAGUCUUGUAGAGGGGGGUAGAAUUCCAGGUGUAGCGGUGAAAUGCGUAGAGAUCUGGAGGAAUACCGGUGGCGAAGGCGGCCCCCUGGACAAAGACUGACGCUCAGGUGCGAAAGCGUGGGGAGCAAACAGGAUUAGAUACCCUGGUAGUCCACGCCGUAAACGAUGUCGAUUUGGAGGUUGUGCCCUUGAGGCGUGGCUUCCGGAGCUAACGCGUUAAAUCGACCGCCUGGGGAGUACGGCCGCAAGGUUAAAACUCAAAUGAAUUGACGGGGGCCCGCACAAGCGGUGGAGCAUGUGGUUUAAUUCGAUGCAACGCGAAGAACCUUACCUGGUCUUGACAUCCACAGAACUUUCCAGAGAUGGAUUGGUGCCUUCGGGAACUGUGAGACAGGUGCUGCAUGGCUGUCGUCAGCUCGUGUUGUGAAAUGUUGGGUUAAGUCCCGCAACGAGCGCAACCCUUAUCCUUUGUUGCCAGCGGUUAGGCCGGGAACUCAAAGGAGACUGCCAGUGAUAAACUGGAGGAAGGUGGGGAUGACGUCAAGUCAUCAUGGCCCUUACGACCAGGGCUACACACGUGCUACAAUGGCAUAUACAAAGAGAAGCGACCUCGCGAGAGCAAGCGGACCUCAUAAAGUAUGUCGUAGUCCGGAUUGGAGUCUGCAACUCGACUCCAUGAAGUCGGAAUCGCUAGUAAUCGUAGAUCAGAAUGCUACGGUGAAUACGUUCCCGGGCCUUGUACACACCGCCCGUCACACCAUGGGAGUGGGUUGCAAAAGAAGUAGGUAGCUUAACCUUCGGGAGGGCGCUUACCACUUUGUGAUUCAUGACUGGGGUGAAGUCGUAACAAGGUAACCGUAGGGGAACCUGCGGUUGGAUCACCUCCUUACCUUAAAGAA
rnacentral:rRNA from 1 species